rnacentral:rRNA from 1 species
GACGAACGCUGGCGGCGUGCUUAACACAUGCGAGUCGAACGGAAAGGCCCUGCUUUUGUGGGGUGCUCGAGUGGCGAACGGGUGAGUAACACGUGAGUAACCUGCCCUUGACUUUGGGAUAACUUCAGGAAACUGGGGCUAAUACCGGAUAGGAGCUCCUGCUGCAUGGUGGGGGUUGGAAAGUUUCGGCGGUUGGGGAUGGACUCGCGGCUUAUCCGCUUGUUGGUGGGGUAGUGGCUUACCAAGGCUUUGACGGGUAGCCGGCCUGAGAGGGUGACCGGCCACAUUGGGACUGAGAUACGGCCCAGACUCCUACGGGAGGCAGCAGUGGGGAAUAUUGUACAAUGGGCGGAAGCCUGAUGCAGCAACGCCGCGUGCAGGAUGACGGCCUUUGGGUUGUAAACCGCUUUCGCCUGUGACGAAGCGUGAGUGACGGUAAUGGGUAAAGAAGCACCGGCUAACUACGUG